rnacentral:tRNA from 1 species
GGAGAAUUACCCAAGUCCGGCUGAAGGGAAUGGUCUAGAAAACCAUCAGGUCAUGAAAGUGGCGCGAGGGUUCGAAUCCCUCAUUCUCCU